GGUAAAAACUGAGGUGGUGUAAGAUGGGCCCGCGUCUGAUUAGGUAGUUGGUGGGGUAGAAGCCUACCAAGCCGACGAUCAGUAGCCGACCUGAGAGGGCGACCGGCCACAUUGGGACUGAGACACGGCCCAAACUCCUACGGGAGGCAGCAGUGGGGAAUAUUGCACAAUGGGGGAAACCCUGAUGCAGCGACGCCGCGUGAGUGAGGAAGUAUUUCGGUAUGUAAAGCUCUAUCAGCAGGGAAGAAAAUGACGGUACCUGACUAAGAAGCCCCGGCUAACUACGUGCCAGCAGCCGCGGUAAUACGUAGGGGGCAAGCGUUAUCCGGAUUUACUGGGUGUAAAGGGAGCGUAGACGGAUAAGCAAGUCUGAUGUGAAAAUCCGGGGCUCAACCCCGGAAUUGCAUUGGAAACUGCAUAUCUAGAGUGUCGGAGAGGCAAGUGGAAUUCCUGGUGUAGCGGUGAAAUGCGUAGAUAUCAGGAGGAACACCAGUGGCGAAGGCGGCUUGCUGGACGAUGACUGACGUUGAGGCUCGAAAGCGUGGGGAGCAAACAGGAUUAGAUACCCUGGUAGUCCACGCCGUAAACGAUGACUACUAGGUGU
rnacentral:rRNA from 1 species